GGGGAUUUAGCUCAGUGGUAGAGCGCUUGCCUAGCAAGCAUAAGGCCCUGGGUUCCGUCCUCAGCUCCG
rfam:Rattus norvegicus chromosome 19, whole genome shotgun sequence.